GACGGAGGGGGCAAGCGUUGUUCGGAUUUAUUGGGCGUAAAGGGCUCGUAGGCGGUUUGUUGCGUCGGCCGUGAAAACCUGCAGCUUAACUGUGGGCCUGCGGUCGAUACGGGCAGACUUGAGUUCGGUAGGGGAGACUGGAAUUCCUGGUGUAGCGGUGAAAUGCGCAGAUAUCAGGAGGAACACCGAUGGCGAAGGCAGGUCUCUGGGCAUUAACUGACGCUGAGGAGCGAAAGCAUGGGGAGCGAACAGG
rnacentral:rRNA from 1 species